rnacentral:pre_miRNA from 1 species
AUGUUUCCUAGAGUUCCUCUGAGCACUUCAUUGGAGACACCAUUUUCUAUCAAACUGUAUUCAACUGAAGUGUUUGGGGGAACUCCCAGACUCAU